rnacentral:rRNA from 1 species
CACGUAGGGUGCGAGCGUUGUCCGGAAUUAUUGGGCGUAAAGAGCUCGUAGGCGGUGUGUCGCGUCGGCCGUGAAAACCUGCAGCUUAACUGUGGGCUUGCAGUGGGGUACGGGCAGACUAGAGGUGCGGUAGGGGUGACUGGAAUUCCGUGGUGAUAGCGGUGGAAUGCGCAGAGUAUCGAGGAGGGAACACCGGUGGCGAAGGCGGGUCUCUGGGCAAUAACUGACGCUGGAGGAGCGAAAGCCGUUGGGGAGCGAACAGG